rnacentral:rRNA from 1 species
AAACUUGAGAGUUUGAUCAUGGCUCAGAACGUACGCUGGCGGCACGCCUAACACAUGCAAGUCGAACGAAGUAGCAAUACUUAGUGGCAGACGGGUGAGUAACAUGUAGGUAUCUGCCCUUUGGCCUGGAAUAACACGAGGAAACUUGUGCUAAUACCGGAUAAGUCUUUACAGAGAAAGCUUUAUGCACCAUUGGAUGAGCCUGCACUUGAUUAGUUUGUUGGUGGGGUAAUGGCCUACCAAGACUUUGAUCAAUAGCUGAUUUGAGAGGAUGAUCAGCCACAUUGGGACUGAGACACGGCCCAAACUCCUACGGGAGGCAGCAGUGGGGAAUCUUGCACAAUGGAGGAAACUCUGAUGCAGCGAUGCCGCGUGAGUGAAGAAGGCCUUUGGGUUGUAAAGCUCUUUCGUCGGGGAAGAAAAUGACUGUACCCGAAUAAGAAGGUCCGGCUAACUUCGUGCCAGCAGCCGCGGUAAUACGAAGGGACCUAGCGUAGUUCGGAAUUACUGGGCUUAAAGAGUUCGUAGGUGGUUGAAAAAGUUGGUGGUGAAAUCCCAGAGCUUAACUCUGGAACUGCCAUCAAAACUUUUCAGCUAGAGUUUGAUAGAGGAAAGCAGAAUUUCUAGUGUAGAGGUGAAAUUCGUAGAUAUUAGAAAGAAUACCGAUUGCGAAGGCAGCUUUCUGGAUCAUUACUGACACUGAGGAACGAAAGCAUGGGUAGCGAAGAGGAUUAGAUACCCUCGUAGUCCAUGCCGUAAACGAUGUGUGUUAGACGUUGGAAAUUUAUUUUUCAGUGUCGCAGCGAAAGCGAUAAACACACCGCCUGGGGAGUACGACCGCAAGGUUAAAACUCAAAUGAAUUGACGGGGACCCGCACAAGUAGUGGAGCAUGUGGUUUAAUUCGAAGAUACGCGCAGAACCUUACCAACACUUGACAUGUUCGUCGCGACUUUAAGAGAUUAAAGUUUUCGGUUCGGCCGGACGAAACACAGGUGCUGCAUGGCUGUCGUCAGCUCGUGUCGUGAGAUGUUGGGUUAAGUCCCGCAACGAGCGCAACCCUCACUUUUAGUUGCCAUCAUUAAGUUGGGCACUCUGAAAGAACUGCCAGUGAUAAGCUGGAGGAAGGUGGGGAUGACGUCAAGUCCUCAUGGCCCUUACGUGUUGGGCUACACACGUGCUACAAUGGUAUCUACAACAGGAAGCAAGACGGCGACGUUAAGCAAAUCCUUAAAAGAUACCUCAGUUCGGAUUGUACUCUGCAACUCGAGUACAUGAAGCUGGAAUUACUAGUAAUCGUGGAUCAGCGUGCCACGGUGAAUGCGUUCCCGGGUCUUGUACACACCGCCCGUCACACCAUGGGAGUUGGUUCUACCUUAAGGCAAGGUUUAAAACCCUUGACCACGGUAUAGUCAGCGACUGGGGUGAAGUCGUAACAAGGUAGCCGUAGGGGAACCUGCGGCUGGAUUACCUCCUUU